rnacentral:rRNA from 1 species
UACGUAGGGGGCUAGCGUUGUCCGGAAUCAUUGGGCGUAAAGAGCGCGUAGGCGGCCCGGUAAGUCCGCUGUGAAAGUCGGGGGCUCAACCCUCGAAUGCCGGUGGAUACUGUCGGGCUAGAGUGCGGAAGAGGCGAGUGGAAUUCCUGGUGUAGCGGUGAAAUGCGCAGAUAUCAGGAGGAACACCUAUUGCGAAGGCAGCUCGCUGGGCCGUAACUGACGCUGAGACGCGAAAGCGUGGGGAGCAAACAGG